rnacentral:rRNA from 1 species
UUGAAAGGGAAACGAUUGAAGUCAGUCGUACCGACGAGAAAUCAACUUAUCAUGUGCGAACUUGUGGGCGUGCGUGAGUUUCGGCCUCGCUGUUUGCAUGUUUGUGCGCUUUGGGUGUACUUUUUCGUAUGGUAGGCCAACGUCAGUUUCGAUUAUCAUAAAAUGACCGGUGGAAUGUAGCUUCGAUUUCGGUUGAAGUGUUAUAGCCUCUGGUAGAUGUGGUGAUUUAGACUGGGGAUUGCAACGAAUACCCUUUGGGCUAUCCGUCUGGCCUCUGAAAGUUGCUCAGGUGCCGAAAGCGUGCUUACGGUCAUCUAAGAUAACGUUCAACAGGUUAGAACGUGAUUACAUUCGUUAAGGAUGUUGACGUA